CAGAGGCUUAUCCAGGUGAUCAGCGCGAUGCGGUUGGAAAUCAGAAAGCUGGAGCUGGAGAACAUGGGCCUGAGGAGGAGAGCUGGAGCUAAUCUGCGAAAGAAUGCAACAGUUCCCACCAUGACAGCAGAAUGCAGAGAGAGCGUCGUCAUGACAGUGAGAAGAUAUUCAAUCUUCCAGCCGUUGGUCAAUCAUCGGAACUGGCAGUUGGACAAUGCUAAAAGUGAGCGGUGGACUGGAAAACAGCAAAGAUAAAAAUUUGCAUGGUAUCAUACUGUAACUUAUCUGACACUGACACAAAGUGGUCGUGUAUAGUUGUGCUUUCUGUUAAAAAAAAAAGUACCAGCACCUGGGAUUGUGGAGUGAACUAAAGGCGAGGUUAGCCUAGCGUUAACUCUAUUUGGCAUCUGGAGCAAAAUUGUGUAUCAGCACCAAAUAAAACAUUUUUUCUGC